rnacentral:rRNA from 1 species
AUUGAACGCUGGCGGCAGGCCUAACACAUGCAAGUCGAACGAGUGGCGGACGGGUGAGUAAUGCUUGGGAAUCUAGCUUAUGGAGGGGGAUAACUACGGGAAACUGUAGCUAAUACCGCGUCCCAUAGGAUGAGCACAAGUGGGAUUAGUUAUUGGGGGGGGUAACGGCUCACCAAGCCGACGAUCUCUAGCUGGUCUGAGAGGAUGACCAGCCACACUGGGACUGAGACACGGCCCAGACUCCUACGGGAGGCAGCAGUGGGGAAGAUUGCGCAAUGGGGGCAACCUGAUGCAGCCAUGCCGCGUGAAUGAAGAAGGCCUUCGGGUUGUAAAGUUCUUUCGGGAGCGAGGCGUUAACUACAGAAGAAGCACCGGCUAACUCCGUGCCAGCAGCCGCGGUAAUAC